rnacentral:siRNA from 1 species
UUCUAACAUAUGCCAUAACCCAC